ACCAAAACCUGCUUAGCACUCAUCAGUAAGUGCUUCUCCUUCCAACGCCCAUCAGUAGGUGUACUUACCUUGUAUCCUUCAGUAGAUACAUAUAAAAUUUAGCAUCCCUCAGCAGAUGCUACCCAAAAAUUGUUCAAAAAUUCAAUAAAGUACAAAAUCAAACAACCUAAAACUACAAAUGUUUAUACAAAGUGGGAUUUAGAUA
rnacentral:lncRNA from 1 species